rnacentral:rRNA from 1 species
UACGGAGGGUGCAAGCGUUGUUCGGAAUUACUGGGCGUAAAGCGCGCGUAGGCGGUUUGUUAAGUCAGAUGUGAAAGCCCAUGGCUCAACCAUGGACGUGCAUUUGAAACUGGCAGACUUGAGUAUUGGAGGGGGUGGUGGAAUUCCCGGUGUAGAGGUGAAAUUCGUAGAUAUCGGGAGGAAUACCGGUGGCGAAGGCGCCUACUGGCAAGUACUGACGCUGAGUGCGAAAGCGUGGGGAGCAAACAGGAUUAGAAACCCCGGUAGU